AUACGGAGGGGGCUAGCGUUGUUCGGAAUUACUGGGCGUAAAGCGCGCGUAGGCGGGCUGGUCAGUCAGGGGUGAAAUCCCGGGGCUCAACCCCGGAACUGCCUUUGAUACUGCCAGUCUAGAGGUCGAGAGAGGUGAGUGGAAUUCCGAGUGUAGAGGUGAAAUUCGUAGAUAUUCGGAGGAACACCAGUGGCGAAGUCGGCUCACUGGCUCGAUUCUGACGCUGAGGUGCGAAAGCGUGGGGAGCAAACAGGAUUAGAAACCCUAGUAGUCC
rnacentral:rRNA from 1 species